UUGGAUGAGUUGCGAACGGGUGAGUAACGCGUAGGUAACCUGCCUGGUAGCGGGGGAUAACUAUUGGAAACGAUAGCUAAUACCGCAUGAUAUUAAUUAUCGCAUGAUAAUUAAUUGAAAGAUGCAAUUGCAUCACUACCAGAUGGACCUGCGUUGUAUUAGCUAGUUGGUGAGGUAACGGCUCACCAAGGCGACGAUACAUAGCCGACCUGAGAGGGUGAUCGGCCACACUGGGACUGAGACACGGCCCAGACUCCUACGGGAGGCAGCAGUAGGGAAUCUUCGGCAAUGGGGGGAACCCUGACCGAGCAACGCCGCGUGAGUGAAGAAGGUUUUCGGAUCGUAAAGCUCUGUUGUAAGAGAAGAACGGGUGUGAGAGUGGAAAGUUCACACUGUGACGGUAUCUUACCAGAAAGGGACGGCUAACUACGUGCCAGCAGCCGCGGUAAUACGUAGGUCCCGAGCGUUGUCCGGAUUUAUUGGGCGUAAAGCGAGCGCAGGCGGUUAGAUAAGUCUGAAGUUAAAGGCUGUGGCUUAACCAUAGUAUGCUUUGGAAACUGUUUAACUUGAGUGCAGAAGGGGAGAGUGGAAUUCCAUGUGUACCGGUGAAAUGCGUAGAUAUAUGGAGGAACACCGGUGGCGAAAGCGGCUCUCUGGUCUGUAACUGACGCUGAGGCUCGAAAGCGUGGGGAGCAAACAAGAUUAGAUACCCUGAUAGUCCGCGCCGCAAACGAUGAGUGCUAGGUGUAAGGCCCUUUCCGGGGCUUAGUGCCGCAGCUAACGCAUUAAGCACUCCGCCUGGGGAGUACGACCGCAAGGUUGAAA
rnacentral:rRNA from 1 species